rnacentral:rRNA from 1 species
GACGAACGCUGGCGGCGUGCUUAACACAUGCAAGUCGAACGGAAAGGCCCUGCUUGCAGGGUACUCGAGUGGCGAACGGGUGAGUAACACGUGGGUGAUCUGCCCUGCACUUCGGGAUAAGCCUGGGAAACUGGGUCUAAUACCGGACAGGAGCCAUUUUUAGUGUGAUGGUUGGAAAGUUUUUUCGGUGUAGGAUGAGCUCGCGGCCUAUCAGCUUGUUGGUGGGGUAAUGGCCUACCAAGGCGGCGACGGGUAGCCGGCCUGAGAGGGUGGACGGCCACAUUGGGACUGAGGUACGGCCCAGACUCCUACGGGAGGCAGCAGUGGGGAAUAUUGCACAAUGGGCGCAAGCCUGAUGCAGCGACGCCGCGUGGGGGAUGACGGCCUUCGGGUUGUAAACUCCUUUCGCUAGGGACGAAGCUUUUUGUGACGGCACCUAGAUAAGAAGCACCGGCUAACUACGUG